CGAGGCGUGACCCAGCUGACGGGCGCUGUGCGGAGCCGAGUGGCGGGUGCGGAGCGGGAGCCGGCAGGGAGCAGCACCCAACAGCGGCAGCAAACAGCGGUGCGCGGCGUCGGUAAAGGUCGGCUCUGGCGCGGCGACUCAUCCACCCCCUCGUGAGCCUGGGGAACCUGCAGCUCAAAGCCGCCGCCAGCCACAGUACCAUGUACCCCGGCAACAAGCGGAAAAAGCUCUGGCGGGAGGAGAAAGAGCGUUUGCUGAAGAUGACCUUGGAAGAAAGACGCAAAGAGUACUCAAGGGAUUAUGUUGCAUUGAAAAAUAUUCCGACAUGGAUGGAAGACUUGAAAAGUAAGAAUGAAAGUGAUGGUGAAAAUGCUAAAGAAGAUCUGCAAGGGAAGAAGAGUCUGAGUGACAAAGUUUCUCUCUACAGAGGUGACAUUACGCUGCUGGAGGUUGAUGCCAUCGUUAAUGCUGCUAAUUCCAGCCUUCUUGGAGGUGGAGGAGUGGACGGCUGCAUACACAGAGCUGCUGGGCCUUGCUUAGUUGCUGAAUGUCGCAACCUAAGUGGCUGUGAGACUGGGCAAGCGAAAAUUACCUGUGGAUAUGAGCUACCGGCAAAAUAUGUGAUCCAUACUGUUGGACCGAUUGCAAGAGGCCAUGUCACUGACAUUCAUAGAGAAAACUUGGCAAGUUGCUAUAAAUCCUCUCUGAAACUGGCAAAAGAAAACAACAUCAGAUCAAUUGCAUUUCCCUGUAUUUCGACAGGAAUUUAUGGUUUUCCAAAUGAGCCUGCUGCCGUCAUUGCCCUUAACACUAUUAAGGAAUGGUUAAGCAAGAAUCACAAUGAGGUGGAUCGCAUCAUCUUCUGCGUCUUUUUGGAGGUCGACUACAAGAUUUUCAAGAAGAAAAUGGGCGAGAUUUUCCCCUUAGAUUAUGAUAGUGAAGGAGGGACUGAGCUGGGUGAAGAGAAAGAAGGAUUGGAACCGAAACACCAGCCUCCAUCUCCCACAAAGAGCAAAGCAGAGCAGCCUGAGGACCUGCAAGAUGAUGCUGAAGGUAGUAAUGAAACUGAGGAGAAGCAAAACACCGAAGAACCCAAGGCCCAGAGCCAAGAAGCAGAGGAGACGGAACCCUCUGCUGUAGCCAGCCUGUCGUCGUCAGAAGAAACAGAGCUGAGUGAGGGUAAAGACUCCCUGAAAGACUCCAAGAGUGUGCAGGAGAGUGACCCAGUGCAUCCUGUGGGAUGUGAACAAGAGCAAGCCAAAGGACAGCAGGAUGUUUCUUCAGAGGAAGAGAUGAAAACUGAAAACUCCUGCAUGGAAAGAGAAGAGCCAUUGCUGAUGCAAGAAGACGCAACGGAAGUUGAAAUACCUUUGAUUCAUGGUGCUGAGGAAAAAGAAGAAGAAGAAGAAGGAGCAAAAAAGGAAGGAGGAGGAGGAGGUCUGAAACACGAGCCCAGAGAACUGGAACAGGGGUGCAAGGGAAAGAGGAAAUGUCUGAAGAUCCUAUGGAGGUUGACCUCGCAUGUGAAGCAGCAGAUGUUUCAAAUAAGGAAGCUGAAAUGAAUAGUCAAGUUGAAAGUAUAAAUGAUCCUAAGGAAACAGAGCGGGAAGCUUAAGUAGCAGCAAAGGAAGGAUGCAGGAGAGAAAAGACCCAAGGACCUGAUGAACAGGCACUGACAUCCUACAACAUCAUUCUUGGCAGAAAAGAGCACACAGAUAUGCUCCAUGGGUUGGGAGGGAGGGAGCUUUGGGGAAAUGAGUCUUUGCUUUAAUUUCUUUGUUCUUCAUUGCAUUUUGUUCUGUAAGCCUGUUGGAAAGAAACAUAACUUCCCAGUUCUGACAAUGUUUUGCAAUUAUUCCUGCAAUUACAACAGUUUCUUCUGAACUGUGAGUCCCUGUCAUAUAUUGGGCCUCUUUUCCUUUUGCAUCAUAUCAUCAGUGGCCUGUUUCCAGGCCCACCCCUUUGAUAGCAUCUUUAUCUUCUUUCCCAGUUUUGGUACUGCCUGCAGGCAACCUGUGGGAGACAGUUUAUUCUCCUCCCAACCCCUCCUUUUUUUAUUCACUUCUCUAGGAUUUAAAUAGAGAGUUUCUUCAGGAACAUGAGCUGCCACAAAGGAUUACAAUCCACAUACACUGAUAAACAACCACCCUCCUUGUGCCAGGGAUUUGAAAGACAAGAUGCUCCACAAGCUCAGAAAUACUGAUUGAGACAACCCUGCAUGUUGUCCACCUCCAGGCUUGUUGAUCAGCAGCUCCUGCCAGCACCCACCAGCAGGUCACCAUGUCCAAACCCUGGCUGCUAGAAGUGGUGCUGUCUGGGUUCCCUCAUGUCCAUGCUAGAAGUAGAGUUUGCACGUUAACUCUUAUGAUCACAAAGCUUCAGUGACUGUCCCUUUCACCUUUCUCUCUGGCAUGGCAAAUCACAGAAUCACAGAACAUUAGGAGAUGGAAGUGACCUCAGAAGAUCAUCCAGUCCCAACCCUUGCCAGGGUCGGGCCACCUAGCGUAGGCCACUGUCUGUGUGUCCAGACAGGUUUUGACUGCCUCCAGAGAAGGAGACUCUACAGCCUCUCUGGGCAGCCCAUUCCAAUGUUCUCUCACUCUCACAGUGAAAAAGCUUUUCCUUAUGUUCACGUGGAACCUCUUAUGCUCCAGCUUGCACCCAUUGCCCAUUGUGGUAUCAUUGGACAUCGCUUAGAAGAGCCUGACAAUCACCCUCCACAUCUUUAUAAACAUUAAUGAAGUCAGUUCUCAGUCUUCUCCUCUAAGCUAAAGAGACACAGCUCCCUCAGCUUUUCUUCACAAGGGACAGCUAAACUGUGCCAUUCCUACAUUGUGCCAGGUCCCUCUUUGGGCCCUACACAUAGAUAACAUAUGUGACUUCACACAGCCACCAUCCCGAGGCAGCCCUGCUCCUUCCUACUUAGCUCCAUGCACCACAAAAUCAGUGCUGUAAGUGUGGCCUUCGGCUGCAGGUAGGCAAGUUACCUCCUCCAGCCUGCAAGUGGCAGUGGAUAGCAGGCACUCUGCAUUCAAGGCAUCUUUAAAUACAGCUCCUAGCUUUAACAACUUCACAUCGUAUCUAGUGUGAGCCCUCAUUAUAUUUUUCACUGCAUAUGCAUGAUCUCUCUCUUUUUUAAAGUAUAUAUAUAUAAAAAAGGGCAAUUAGCAGUUUUUUGGGUAAGAUUGUCUCACCAUAUGUCAAUUGUUCUGCCAGCAAAUGCUCUGCUGAAGUUCUUAGGAAAGGGACAAGAGGGUUUUACAUCCAUUUCCCAACCAUGCUGUAACCCAAACCGAUAGACAAUACACUUGAUGGAAGAGCAGGCAGCCCAGGGCCAGGGUGGCAUGUGCCACAAACUGUAUUUUUAGAUGCUGCUGGUAAUAAGUUGAUCAUUUUGAGCAACAUAAUUGUUUAUUUAAUUUUUAAAUUCCUUACAAAUGUGCUUGAAUCCCAAAGUAGUUAUUUACUAGCUAGCAUUUAAAAAAAAAAAACAGAAGAGUAGCUCCUGCAAUCUGGGUUUAUCCCUGCUAGGGCAGGUUUGGCAGUAAAUCAUCUGCCUGUGCAACAGCGAUUCAGAUGUGGCCCUAAGACAUCUGCCUGUGGCAGUUGCUGGCUGCUGUCAGCUGCAGGUCAGUUUGAAAGGGUGUGGGGACAAGCAACAGAGAGAAAAGAAAACAUGAAAAGGCCCAGGUUUCACUUGGAGAUUUUGGCCCCUAGAAAUUCAGCCCCUUGUCUUCCUGUGUGUGACCUCAGCAUGUUUGCUUGUGCUGGGAUCAGAAGAGUCUUUCAGUGUGCUGACUCCUAACUCUGUUAACCCAGGCGACACUGGCGCUAGAGAAGAUCUUUGAGUUUCUCUGUCACCCAUUUGUCCCAGAGAUAGGUGGAUGCGUAACUGAAUUGGACCAGCCACAGAAGGAGCAAAUGAACUGACAAGCCCAAGAAUCUGGUUUAUAAUAUUGCUAUGUUUACCUAAAUUUGCUAGAUAGUACUGCUUGUUCUCUUCUGAGAACUCUUGACUCAUAGAUUCAUAGAAUGGUUUGAGUUGGAAGGGACCUUAAAGAUCAUAUAGUUCAUACCCCACUGCCAUGGGCAGGGACACCUUCCACUAGAACAAGCUGCUUGUGGUCCUGUCCAUCCUGGCAUUGAACACCUCCAGGGAGGGAGAAUUCACAACCUUCCUGGGCAACCUGUUUAGUAUCUCACCACCCUCACUGUCAAGAAUAUCUUCCUAAUAUCCAAUCUAAAUCCACCCUCUUAUAGCUUAAAUCUAUUCCCCCUCACCCUGUCACAACAAGCCUUGUAAAACGUCCCUCCCUGGCUUUCUGUAGACCCCAUCAGGUGCUGGAAGGUCACUAGAAGAUCUCUCCAGAGCUUUCUUUUCCCCAGGCUGAACAGCUCCAACUUUUUAUGCUGAAGGUGCCAGAACUGGAUACAGUACUCCAGGUGGAGUCUCACCAGAGCAGAAUGGGAGAAUUACCCUUGCCCUGCUGGUCACAGUUCUUUUGGUGCAGCCCAGCACACUGUUGCCUUCUGGGCUGCAAGCGCACAUUGCUGGCUCGUGGUGAGUUUUUCAUCAACAGACAUCCCCAAGUCCUUCUCCUUGAGACCACUUUCAAGCCACUCCUUUUCCAGCCUACAUUUGUGCUUGGGAUUGCCCUGAAGAGGCUCCUCAUUUCCUUUGAGAUGUCUCUGGUGCUAUUCUCUCCUAUUCCUGGGGCCAUGCGUGGCAGAAUGUGUCAUUUGGGACAUGGGACUUUUUUGCUGUGCUGUUCCUUCCCCUCAUUUCCAGCUGAUUGCAGUUUUGCAGUGGGAGGCCUCACAGGUACAUGGUGUGCAUUCUGGAUACUGUAUGUUUUAGCAUGCCCAAUAUGAUUUUGGUUGAAGCAGGCUGUCAUAAUAGGUGGAGCAGGAACUGGUAAAAUACCAAGGAAGGAAGGAAGGAAGGAAGGAAGGAAGGAAGGAAGGAAGGAAGGAAGGAAGGAAGGAAGGAAGGAAGGAAGGAAGGAAGGAAGGAAGGAGAAUAAACACACUGGGUGUCUCCCAUUUCAAUUCCUCUUUUUGUGAUCCUGUGAAUGACCAGGAGUGAAGGGCACCCUCCAUCUUGGUAAGUGAGAGAAUUGUCCCUAUAGGGUUUAGAACAAAUCAAGUGAGCUUGACUUAAAGCUGUGCAAAAUGUUGAAGACAUCCAAGGUGAGCAGAUCCUCAUCUAGGGUGAACUGGGCUCCACAGAGCUGUGGUAACUUCAGUCAGCAGGAUAUCCAGGCCCCUGAACUGUAGGCUGCCAUUACCUGCCAAUCAGGUGUCCUUCUUGCCAUUGCCAGCCUCGAUUCUAGCAAGGGAGGCAAAAGGAGAGCCCCACAGCAGGCUGGCUGGCUGCCAAAGUGUGGUGGCUCAGUAAGGAGACAGACACCUUGAACUACUUGUGAAGGCUGAUCAUUAAAAAAACCCAACUAACUGUAAAGAUGUGUCACAUUAGACACUUUCUAACUCCUGACUGUAGUUUGGUUUCAGUUUUCAUUUACCCUUGUUUCUUGACCAGCAGUGAGUGUUUGAAAUCAGGAGCUGUUUGCACAAGGAUGCAGUGGAGAAGCGUGAAGCCCAGGUAGGACAUGUAAAGCAAGGAGAUGUAGGAGCCGAGUAAGUCCUUACAGACCAAUUUACAGCUGCAUCUGCAUCUGUCUGUCUUCAGGUGGGUUUUGGUUUAAACUGUUAGAGAUUUUCACUGGAGUGUAGUUUGGCAGUGUGAGUUCUUCAGCUGAGCCAGUAGUUCAGGCUGGUCCCAUGGCCCCUGACACAGUCUCCAGUGCUGCAGCAGGAGCUGCUUUGGUAGAAGAGCAACCAUCAGACUGAGCAUCACCCUGCUGGGGUUUACAUCAAGGAUUUUGGUUUGAAGGCAACACGUGUAUACAGUAGGUGGUGUAAAGGGAAUAGCAGCCCUUUGGUGCUGAUCUUUGCAUCCAAAGUGUCAGGAUCUGCUUGAUUGUUCGUUUUCCUGUGUCUGAAAGCACUGCUCCCUACCAUGAGGCAUGGUAUUCCUCAGGCUGGUUACUGCUCUGGUGACGGAUGGGUUUCCUUCCAUACAGACCACCAAAGGGGAUGUUUGAGAUGGUUUGUAAUGAUGGGUCACACGUUCACUGCAGCUGAAGCACUGAGAAAGCCUUUCCAUGAGUUAGCACUGUUCUGCUUUAUGUACUUGAAUGAAAACAUAACAUUAAAAGGAGAAGGUGUUUAUCUAUACACAAUGCAUGCUGGCUUUGCUUUUGAAAAGAUGAACUCAACAGAGUGUGUGGCUCUAUCUUCAUGGGAAAUAGGAGUUUUUAUCGUAUGAUUCACCCAGGAUUUGCCUUACCCUGACAUUUGUGAUACAAAGGAAAACUUGAAAAAAAUUAUAUAUAUAUAUAAAGCAAUUUUAAAAGGUAAUUUUCUCAAUCCUAAAACACAUUUUUACUUCAAUACAGGGAAAUGUAGACUUGUUGCUUGCAAAAUGUCUUCUUCUAGAUGGCCUAGCAGCUAUAUGGGUUAAGCCAUGACACUUGCGUUGCUCUGUCAUUUACCUCCAAGUUAUUUUUCCUUCUGUCUGUGCCACGUGUUGGAAAACUUAAAGAACCAAUGCCUUUGUACUCCCAUGUUUGUUACAAUGAAACGUUAAUAAAGCUUGUCCUGAAGA